rnacentral:rRNA from 1 species
UACGUAGGUGGCAAGCGUUGUCCGGAAUUAUUGGGCGUAAAGCGCGCGCAGGCGGUCCUUUAAGUCUGAUGUGAAAGCCCACGGCUCAACCGUGGAGGGUCAUUGGAAACUGGGGGACUUGAGUACAGAAGAGAAGAGUGGAAUUCCACGUGUAGCAGUGAAAUGCGUAGAGAUGUGGAGGAACACCAGUGGCGAAGGCGACUCUUUGGUCUGUAACUGACGCUGAGGCGCGAAAGCGUGGGGAGCAAACAGG